UUACCAGACUCCUACGGGAGGCAGCAGUGAGGAAUAUUGGUCAAUGGGCGCAAGCCUGGACCAGCCAAGUCGCGUGAGGGAAGACGGCCCUACGGGUUGUAAACCUCUUUUGCCGGGGAGCAAGCCUGAGCACGUGUGCCCAGGCGGAGAGUACCCGGAGAAAAAGCAUCGGCUAACUCCGUGCCAGCAGCCGCGGUAAUACGGAGGAUGCGAGCGUUAUCCGGAUUUAUUGGGUUUAAAGGGUGCGUAGGCGGAUUGAUAAGUUAGAGGUGAAAUGUCCGAGCUCAACUCGGGAACUGCCUCUAAUACUGUUGAUCUAGAGAGUAGAUGCGGUAGGCGGAAUGUAUGGUGUAGCGGUGAAAUGCUUAGAGAUCAUACAGAACACCGAUUGCGAAGGCAGCUUACCAAUCUAUAUCUGACGUUGAGGCACGAAAGCGUGGGGAGCAAACAGGAUUAGAUACCCUAGUAAC
rnacentral:rRNA from 1 species